rnacentral:sRNA from 1 species
AUAAGGAGGAGACAACU